rnacentral:sRNA from 1 species
UUAUAGGCUAAGAACGCAACGUCCUGUUGCAACGCCUGUACUCACACAUCCUUUGCUUCGUAGCGAUGUGUG